UACGAAGGGGGCUAGCGUUGUUCGGAAUUACUGGGCGUAAAGCGCACGCAGGCGGUCUAUUUAGUUAGGAGUGAAAGCCCCGGGCUCAACCUGGGAAAUGCUCUUAAUACUGGUAGGCUUGAAUCACGGAGAGGGUAGUGGAAUUCCGAGUGUAGAGGUGAAAUUCGUAGAUAUUCGGAAGAACACCAGUGGCGAAGGCGACUACCUGGCCGUUGAUUGACGCUCAUGUGCGAAAGCGUGGGGAGCAAACAGG
rnacentral:rRNA from 1 species